rnacentral:lncRNA from 1 species
GUAAUAAAGAUAUAGCAGAUUAAAGCCUAAUCUAACCUAACUGACCACUCCCCCCCUCUCAGCCAGGCUCUCCAAUCACGUUCCUGGAAACAGAGAGAAAGGGUGAUGUCACACCAAAACUUUUAUUCUCCUCCCCGCCACCAAAGCACAUGCAUUCAUGUCCAGAGAAAGAACUGUUGGAGUAGAAAUGAAGAUGAAAAACAUAUGACAGAUCACUUGUGGAAGAGGCAUGAAGGAAGAGAGAAUUUCUAACAUGCAAGACAGAAAGCUGGGGACCUCAUCUGUCAAUCAAGGUCUAGGCCAGCAGUGAAAUGUCUGACCUUGGAUGGAAUCUGUAACUUAACAACUGUUUAAAAGACAUCUUUCCUCUUAGCUGCUCUCAGAGCCUAACAUCAGUGGAAACUGUUUACUUGCCAGAUGAACAGAUCUCCCUCUCUUUGGCUGGGUCCUCCCAGAACUUCCAUUUUAAGGAGGAUUACCCAAGCCAAUCAGAGUCUUAUUUCUACAAUGGCUGGCCUGCUGAUUCUCUGGACUUUCUCUGCUAUAUCCCAUUUGCCAAGAACUUGAUUUCUUCCACCUCUACUCCCUUUUCACUUCCCUUUUUUUUUUUUGUGAUAUCUUUACUCAUUAGAAUUCAAGUUCCUUGAUAGCAGGAGAUGUCUUUCUUUUCACUUGUAUUUUUAUUUUUAGCAUUUAGCAAGUGCCUGGCACAUAGUGUACUCUAAAGGAAUGCUUGUACAUUUGCUUAUUGACUUUAAUCCUUGCUGAAGAACAUAUAUUUGGAUGGGACAUAGCAAAUCCUUAUUGGUUUCUGUGACAGAAGUUAUUUCAAAUAUAAUGACUAUUUCAUGAAAAAUAUAAGAGAAAUUGAGAAGAAAAUGCCUUUUUCACAUUUGGGAUAUGUUCAAUUCUUUCUUCUCCUUAUACUUUCUGCAAGAGAUAAGAGAGGGUAUUUCUUUACUGUAAUCAAAUGACAGUGGAGACUCUUACUUGCCUAAGUGAACCCGCGUUCCUAGCUCCAGUUUUUGGUUUUAUUUUUCCUUCUCUAUGCACAAUCAGUGUAUAGAUAAUGGCCAAUGAACAUUUUUGCCUUAGAGACUACUGAAUAAUUUGAAAAAUUCU